rnacentral:rRNA from 1 species
UACGAAGGGGGCUAGCGUUGCUCGGAAUCACUGGGCGUAAAGGGCACGUAGGCGGCGUUUUAAGUCGGGGGUGAAAGCCUGUGGCUCAACCACAGAAUGGCCUUCGAUACUGGGACGCUUGAGUAUGGUAGAGGUUGGUGGAACUGCGAGUGUAGAGGUGAAAUUCGUAGAUAUUCGCAAGAACACCGGUGGCGAAGGCGGCCAACUGGACCAUUACUGACGCUGAGGCGCGAAAGCGUGGGGAGCAAACAGG